rnacentral:rRNA from 1 species
AGUGGGGAAUCUUCCGCAAUGGGCGCAAGCCUGACGGAGCAACGCCGCGUGGGGGACGAAGGCCUUCGGGUCGUAAACUCCUGUCAGCGGGAAAGAGGGGCGGGGCGGUGCAUAGCCGUCCCGUCUGACGGUACUCGCAGAGGAAGCCACGGCCAACUCCGUGCCAGCAGCCGCGGUAAUACGGAGGUGGCGAGCGUUGUUCGGAAUCACUGGGCGUAAAGGGCGCGUAGGCGGGGUCGGAAGUCGGGUGUGAAAGCCCCGGGCUCAACCCGGGAACGGCGCUCGAGACUCCGGCUCUUGAGUCCCGGAGAGGCGGGUGGAAUUCCUGGUGUAGCGGUGAAAUGUGUAGAGAUCAGGAGGAACACCGGUGGCGUAGGCGGCCCGCUGGACGGAGACUGACGCUGAGGCGCGAAAGCGUGGGGAGCAAA